rnacentral:snoRNA from 1 species
ACUCUGUGAUGAGAAAUAGCCAAAUCUGAACACCAAAAAGAUCAGCUGGUCUUAUAUGGUGCAUGAAUUGUAAACUGUUCUGGGA